rnacentral:rRNA from 1 species
AUUGAACGCUGGCGGCAGGCCUAACACAUGCAAGUCGAGCGCGCGGCGGACGGGUGUGGAAUAUAUCGGGUCUGUCCGAUAGAGGGGGAUAACACCCGUAAACGGUAGCUAUUACCGCAUACUCUAGGAGUACCCACAUGGGAUUAGCUAGUAGGUGGGGUAAUGGCUCACCUAGGCGACGAUCCCUAGAGGGUCUGAGAGGAUGAUCAGCCACACUGGAACUGAGACACGGCCCAGACUCCUACGGAGGCAGCAGUGGGGAAUAUUGCACAAUGGGCGCAAGCCUGAUGCAGCCAUGCCGCGUGUAUGAAGAAGGCCCUAGGGUUGUAAAGUACUUUCAGUCGGGAGGCGUUACCGACAGAAGAAGCACCGGCUAACUCCGUGCCAGCAGCCGCGGUAAUUC